CUAAUCUACAAAGUGAUAUCUCAACUGUCUAGGAAGUUUAAUUUGGCCGAAUUAAACAACUUGGUGAUAAGAAGUAACUCCUUCUGAGAAGGAAACCCCAUCCCUCUAGUGGAACUGAGGGGAAAGAGAGGAAACUCUGGUGACCUGUUUCUCACCUUUUUUUUUUCCGGCUAAUUACAGACCUCCUCACCAUCCCCAAGCUUGAUUCAACUCGUAGCAACCCCAAAACUCACUUGUAAUCACGCGAAGAGAAACUCGAGAGAGCCUGAAACUGUCAGUCACAAAUCCUCCAUCUUCGGUCACCUCU
rnacentral:misc_RNA from 1 species